AUGGCAGCGCCCAAGUCCUCCCAUAGAAAUAGUUCGGUUCUUCGGUGUUUUAACCAACACCAAAGUCUCUUCACUUUACCGAGGGAUCAACAAGUGAGGACUUUGUGGGUCACUUUUAUUUUAAACGGACCGGUGCCAGAAACACUGCCUCAGCAUUUAUACGUAUAUGCAUUUCAAACGAGGGCACACACCUGUGUGGAGAAAAGCUAAUGGCUACCGGCAUUCGAGCGGCUACAGGCAGGGAGCGGUGGUUCUAGCUUUUGGCCUUUUUCUGCAAUCACCUACACCAGGGGGGAACAGCUGAUAGCUCUCAGCCUUCGAGCGGCUACAGGCAGGGAGCGGUGGGUCUAGCUCGCUGUAUUAAGUACAUGCUCUAUACUUAAUAUGUUGGUUGGUCUGUGUAAAAUGUAGUAACCCACAUGUGAGACAAGCUAAUGGCUAUCGGCCUUCGAGUGGCUACAGGCAGGGAGCGAUGGAUCUAGCUUUCAUCCUUUUUCUGUAAUCGCAUACACCUGUGGGGAACAGCUGAUCAUUAUCGCCCUUCCAGUGGCUACAGGCAGGGAGCGGUGGGUCUAGCUCGCUGUAGUAUGUGCUUGAUACUUAAUAUGUUGAUUGGUCUGUUUAAAAUAUAGUAACCCACACGUAAGACAAGCUAAUGGCCAUCGGCAUUGAGCCGCUACAGGCAGGGAGCGGUGGGUCUUGCUUUUGUCCUUAUUCUGUAAUCGCAUAUACCAGAGGGGAACAGCUGAUCGUUAUCGCCCUUCGAGCGGCGAUAGGCAGGGAGUGGUGGAUCUAGCUUGCUGUAGUAAGUUUGUGCUUGAUACUUGUGAUAUCUAAAUAUGUAUGUAGUUGGGUCUGUUUAAAUGUAGUAACCCACAUGUCUGACAAGCUAAAAGCUAGUUUUGCUAAUGGCUACAGCGAGUCAACCGAGCCUGUGUCCCUUUUUAAAUGUGCUACUCUGAGUUGGCGCAAUCACACACCUGUGUGUGACCUACAUAAUAAUGAACAUUUCACUAAUCUACAAUUCUGAUUGCAGUACCUUUUUGUUUUGAUGAGGUGAUGGUGAGGACAGCCACAGCUUCCAUCUGGUAGAGGACUGCUUCUGCUCUGUCUUCCAAAUAGUGAUGAGAACAAGGUUCACCACAUCUCCCUGGUCAUCGGUCUACAACUAUACCCGUCCUGCUGCAGAAACAAAUCUCCAACAUAAGCAAGUGUACCCCCUACCAGGACAUGGUCUGUUUACCCUACUUCCAUCAAGUAUUUCAUCUGCAAGGCCCUGCAAAAGCUUCUGUCCUCAAACCCCCAGACUUCUUAAUUAACUCAGUAACCUAUACAUAGCACAUUGAAGUGUGAAGAUAACACUUUGUUAUAGCUUUGGAGUAGUGGUGCAUUUUUUUGGUUGACAAUAAAGUUUGCUUUAACUAUU
rnacentral:lncRNA from 1 species